UACAGAGGUCUCAAGCGUUGUUCGGAUUCAUUGGGCGUAAAGGGUGCGUAGGUGGCGCGUUAAGUCAGGUGUGAAAUCUCGGGGCUUAACUCCGAAACUGCAUUUGAUACUGGCGUGCUUGAGGACUGGAGAGGAGACUGGAAUUCAUGGUGUAGCAGUGAAAUGCGUAGAGAUCAUGAGGAAGACCAGUGGCGAAGGCGGGUCUCUGGACAGUUCCUGACACUGAGGCACGAAGGCCAGGGGAGCAAACGGG
rnacentral:rRNA from 1 species